UUCUCCCCGAUAUAGGAAAAAGAAGAAAAAAUUUUUUUUUAGCUAUAAACAGAAAUUGUGUGCUUGGAUGUGGAAAUAAAAGGAUUUGAAGCUUUCAAUUCCAAUUUCCGAAGUAAUAAAAAUAACAGGGCAUAUGCUAUUCAUGUAAUUGAAUUGACUACUUUGGAGUCGAGUGCCCUCUCGCUUUGAACUUUCUUCCCAAGAUUUCUAAAAGAAAGAGUCAAUAUUUAUAAGUGAUGAGAAGAAAAUUCAAACUGGAAACCUGACGAGUCUGGGAUAUAUACCUGGUUUCUUGGCAUAUUAACUUGGCUGAAAAUAAAACUCUAGUUCAAAGAGACACUGCUCCUAAAAAGCAGUUCUUGUAAUUGGAAUAAUUUUAAGAAAUCUCCUUCUUUUUGCGAAAAAAAAAAAAAAAACGACUGAUGUUUGAGCCUUUACUUAAAUCUACUCCUGAGUCAAUCUUCUCAAUCUUGAUUAGCUGGAGGCUCUUGCAAACAUAUAUCCCAUGUGGGAUUCAUCCCUUACCAGAAUUACAGGCCUGCUCCAAGCCCAGUUUUUAAUCCAGAGUUAAUUCUCCCUGUUAACGAUACAGAGUUUACAGAUUUACAGGAAUCCAAAUAUUUGGAGCAAGAGGAGUGUAUAUACUACAUGCUUACUAGUUAUUAGUCCCUGUAAUCCGUCUAUUCAAUUUUAUUGUAUAUAGGCAUGCAUUUUAUUGCUCUUUUUGGGGAUGUUAGUCAUGGAUUACUGAAUUGAUAUUAAGUUUGAAACUUUCUAAUCUCAGAAUUCUACAGCAUUACUUCUUGCAAGAAUCAUAAGAUGAGUCAUCUUAUUUUGAUAUCAAACGGACAGGCAGGACUAAUGCUGAUCAACUCUGCUCUACAUUUUUAUUUUUUUUCUAACAAGUAAACCUUGCAUGGUUAUAAAUUAUAAAAUGCCAUCAUAACAGAGUGCAUAUUGGGAAGCGAGGCAGAGAAGGGCACUAGAUGUUUGAUUUGCAAUGGCGUGCAGAGGAACCAUCCUGUGCAUUGAGAUGCCAAAAGCUUCUGUGUUAUCUAUAUCAUGAGCUUUUACUCCUGGAGGAAGUUCCCAAUCAAAGCUGUGGAGAAGUUGAGUCAAAGCAAGCUCAACAUUUGCUGUUGCAAAUGUGAUGGCUGGGCAGCUUCUUCUACCCGCUCCAAAAGGCAUUGACAUAAAUGCGUGAUUUAGUAGGAAUCUUGUACCCGUCAACGAUAACUUCUUCCAUGGAUUCUCUUGGGAUCAGAACUGGAACAGCAGGAUCUAAUCGGAAUAUCUCUUUGAUUACAGCUUUCAUAUAGUGCAGCCGAGGCAGAUCACCCUCUUGCACGACUCUUCUCUCUCCAACAAUUCUUCGAAUUUCUGCUUGUGCUUUCUCCAUGACUCUAGGACUCAUGAUCAGCUCUGUCAUUGCCCAAUCAAGGGUUGUGAAAGUUGUACCGGUUCCUGCAACAAUGUAUCAAAAUCAGUUUUAAUUUGAUUGGAUUGAGUCAUUUAUCAGUAAUUUGCAAGUGAAUCAAAGCAUCAAGUCGUUACUGACCAAGAUUGCCGCUUUA